UACGAAGGGUGCAAGCGUUACUCGGAAUUACUGGGCGUAAAGCGUGCGUAGGUGGUUUGUUAAGUCUGAUGUGAAAGCCCUGGGCUCAACCUGGGAAUUGCAUUGGAUACUGGCAGGCUAGAGUGCGGUAGAGGGUAGUGGAAUUCCCGGUGUAGCAGUGAAAUGCGUAGAGAUCGGGAGGAACACCCAUGGCGAAGGCAGCAAGCUGGGCGACACCUGACGCUGAGGCGCGAAAGCGUGGGUAGCAAACAGG
rnacentral:rRNA from 1 species